AUUGAACGCUGGCGGCAGGCCUAACACAUGCAAGUCGAACGAGUGGCGGACGGGUGAGUAAUGUCUGGGAAACUGCCCGAUGGAGGGGGAUAACUAAUGGAAACGGUAGCUAAUACCGCAUACCAUCGGAUGUGCCCAGAUGGGAUUAUCUAGUAGGUGGGGUAACGGCUCACGUCGGCGACGAUCCCUAGCUGGUCUGCGAGGAUGACCAGCCACACUGGAACUGAGACACGGGCCAUGUGCCGCCGGUGGGCAGCAGUGGGGAAUAUUGCGCAAUGGGCGCAAGCCUUAUGCAGCCGUGCCGCGUGUAUGAUGAAGGCCUUCGGGUUGUAAAGUACUUGCAGCGAGGAGGCGUUACUCGCAGAAGAAGCACCGGCUAACUCCGUGCCAGCCGCCGCGGUAAUUC
rnacentral:rRNA from 1 species